UGCAAUCCAAAUAAUGCUUUCAAUGUCUUGUACGAAACCUAUGGAACGUUGUUUUAAAUAAAUUGCCGUUCCUUCAAAAACUGUCUCGCAAACCAUAACAUACAUACAAGUUUAUCAAACAUUGUAAGAAAAAGGUGCAGACUUGGUCAAGCAGGACGUCAUGUUUCCUUUAACCUAUAGGUUUAACACUAAACAUGUGGUUAUAUGGAAAUGUCAGACACAUCGAGAGCAGCUUCUGUAUUAAUGUGUGAAUUGUAAGCUGAGAGGCAUACUGCCAUGGGGUGAAACAUACUGCCACAGGGUGAGACAUACUGCCAUUGGAUGAGACAUACUGCCACGGGGUGGGACAUACCGCCACGGGGUGAGAUACACUGCCACGGGGUGAGACAUACUGCCACGGGGAGAGACAUACUGCCAUGGGGUGAGACAUACUGCCAUUGGGUUAGACAUACUGCCAUUGGGUUAGACAUACUCCCAUGGGGUGAGACAUACUCCCAUGGGGUGAGACAUACUGCCAUUGGGUGGGACAUACUGCCAUGGGGUGAGACAUUGCCAUUGGGUGGGACAUACUGCCAUUGGGUGGGACAUACUGCCAUUAGUUGAGACAUACUGCCACAGGGUGAGACAUACUGCCAUGGGGUGAGACAUACUGCCAUUGGGUUAGACAUACUCCCAUGGGGUGAGACAUACUGCCAUUGGGUGGGACAUACUGCCAUGGGGAGAGACAUACUGCCAUGGGGUGAGACAUACUGCCAUUGGGUUAGACAUACUCCCAUGGGGUGAGACAUACUGCGAUAGGGUGAGACAUACUGUCAUUGGGUGGGACAUACUGCCAUUGGGAGAGACAUACUGCCAUGGGGUGAGACAUACUGCCAUUGGGUUAGACAUACUCCCAUGGGGUGAGACAUACUGCCAUGGGGUGAGACAUACUGCCAUGGGGUGAGACAUACUGCCAUGAGGUUAGACAUACUCCCAUGGGGAGAAACAUACUGCCAUUGGGUGGGACAUACUGCCAUGGGGAGAGACAUACUGCCAUGGGGUGAGACAUACUGCCAUUGGGUUAGACAUACUCCCAUGGGGUGAGACAUACUGCCAUUGGGUUAGACAUGCUCCCAUGGGGUGAGACAUACUGCCAUUGGGUGGGACAUACUGCCAUGGGGUGAGACAUACUGCCAUUGGGUGAGACAUACUGCCAUUGGGUGGGACAUACUGCCAUUGGGUGAGUCUUACUGCCAUUGGGUGAGUCUUACUGCCACAGGGUGAGACAUACUGCCAUGGGGUGAGACAUACUGCCAUUGAGUUAGACAUACCACCAUGGGGAGAGACAAAUGGUGGACACUUGGCAUGAAAGUAAGUUGCACAGUUCAAGGAAAACAAUAUUUAAUGAGGAAAGCACGAUGUCACACUUAGAAACUAUGACGAGGAUCAAUCAAUAACCUGAAUAAUCGCAAAUCUAUCGUAUCCGUCUAUAAACUGUCAAAAGACAAAUUAAAUUUGUAUCCUGGCUGCGUUCUUACAUUUAUAAUGUCAUUCUUGAAAGCCGAUGGAAAAUUGCCAAUAAGAACAAUUAGAUUAACUGAAAAGGAGUAUCUUUAUAAUCA
rnacentral:lncRNA from 1 species